GCUCCAGUGGUGCAAUGGGUUAGCAUGUGGUACUUAUAAGGCAGUACUGAGAAAGUGAUGCCAAGGUUGUGAGUUCAAGCCUCACCUGGAGCA
rfam:Alligator mississippiensis ScZkoYb_230, whole genome shotgun sequence.